rnacentral:tRNA from 1 species
GCAGUGGUGGUUCAGUGGUAGGAUUCUCACCUUCCACACAGGAGACCAGGGUUCAAUUCCCAGUCAGUGCA